rnacentral:lncRNA from 1 species
CUCGAAAUUCAGCCAAAAAAUUAGAUACGUGUUUAAUUUGGCAGAACUAGCAGAACUUGUCCCCAUGGAAUACGUUGGCAUACCAGAAUGCAUAAAACAAGUUGAUCAAGAACUUAAUGGAAAACAAGAUGAACCGAAAAAUGAACAGUAAGUUUGGCAUCUAGUCCAAACAAGACUGAAGAAUGUGCUGAUGGAGCAGUGCUGUUUCUGCAUUCAUAAUGCAUUUAUUGGCCCAUAUUUUUAUGUAACCUGUUACAAAAUAGACUUGACUUUUUCAUAAUGGACUUUUGUAUUAUACAAGGGACUGUUCACUGCUGUACUGGUUUGCAAAUUUCUUGAAUUUAGCUCUUUAAUAGCUAACUGUAUUAUUAUCGUUUUAUAUUUUAUAUUGCUAAAUAGAGAACCACACUUUAUAUAAAGUAGUUUUUGCAUUUGUUUAUUGAAUGAUGCAUCUUCUUCGGUGAAAUAUUUAUAUGCAUAAAUGGCAAAGGAAAGAAAUAAUAUAUAUUUUUAUGUCAUUGAGCAAUAUUUUUUAAUGUGUACCUGUCUUAUGGAAGAAAUAUGCAGGUAUAUAAGACCACGAUUUUCUAAAGUGCAUAUUAGAAUUUUUGUUUUUGUAAAUGGUUAAAUACAUUUCCUGGGUAACUUAGGAAAUUAAGUUUUUCAUAAGGCAACAGAUGGUUAAACUGAUUGUCAUGAAUACCCAAAGAUCAUGUAUAUAAUCGAAGUGUAUUAGUACCAUCCCAAGGUUUUUUUCUCAUUUAACAUAUUUGUUUCAUAAUUCAGCAAGUACAGAUGCAAGCGCAUUGCACACUUUUUCCUUUCUAAACUUAAAGACAAGUCAAAAAGCCAUUCUUAGAACUAGAGGAUUUAAGAGGGUAGGAAUUAGGGUUUGUAUAUAUGUAUAUAUGGGACAUUUUAUCUUCUGGCCCAAAGUCAGAACUUUAUAAAAAUCUUGAGUUUGUUCACUAAUGUGAAAUAAGCUAUGUGUCCAGGGUAUUGCUCCCCUGAGUGUAUAUGAGUGCUGAGUAGUAUUGCAGAGAAUGUGAUGAGUUAUUCACUGUCACAACUUUUUCUAUAGAAAACAGGGGCUGCUUUUUAAACUCUCACUAUGGGCACUUUACCAAAAUACUUCCAUAUCAAUUAUUUGAACUCGGUAGUUGUUUGACCUAGUUAGAUGUGGUGUUUAUUCAAGUUUGUAUGAAAUCAUGUUUGACAAUACUGUAAAUUAGGUUAAUUUUGUAAGUCUUAGCAUCAUCAUAUUGUGCUGUUUUGGAUAACACGUUUGUUACAAGCAUUUAAACUGUUUCAUUUGGUAGUACCUUUACAUUGAAAUAAAUUGUGUUUGUGCCUCC